GGGGGAGCAAACCGGAUUAGAUACCCGGGUAGUCCAGCUGUAAACUAUGCAAACUCAGUGAUGCAUUGGCUUGUGGCCAAUGCAGUGCUGCAGGGAAGCCGUUAAGUUUGCCGCCUGGGAAGUACGUACGCAAGUAUGAAACUUAAAGGAAUUGGCGGGGGAGCACCACAAGGGGUGAAGCCUGCGGUUCAAUUGGAGUCAACGCCAGAAAUCUUACCCGGAGAGACAGCAGAAUGAAGGUCAAGCUGAAGACUUUACCAGACAAGCUGAGAGGUGGUGCAUGGCCGUCGCCAGCUCGUGCCGUGAGAUGUCCUGUUAAGUCAGGUAACGAGCGAGAUCCCUGCCUCUAGUUGCCACCAUUACUCUCAGGAGUAGUGGGGCGAAUUAGCGGGACCGCCGCAGUUAAUGCGGAGGAAGGAAGGGGCCACGGCAGGUCAGUAUGCCCCGAAACUCUGGGGCCACACGCGGGCUGCAAUGGUAACGACAAUUGGUUUCGAAUCCGAAAGGAUGAGGUAAUCCUCAAACGUUACCACAGUUAUGACUGAGGGCUGCAACUCGCCCUCACGAAUAUGGAAUCCCUAGUAACUGCGUGUCAUUAUCGCGCGGUGAAUACGUCCCUGCUCCUUGCACACACCGCCCGU
rnacentral:rRNA from 1 species